rnacentral:lncRNA from 1 species
UGUAGGGUUGAUGGUGGCCUUUGGGCAGGGAUCAGCCCAUCCUCAAAAGCCAGAGAAACAUGUUCAGCUUGCCUGUGACUCAUUCUUCCUCAGAAGAAGACUGUUUUUUCCUUCAAAAAAUCACAGACUUCCACCUUCAGACAAUAACGUGUUCUUAGGAAGUUACGUGUUUUGUUUUCUGUGCAAGCUGCAGGGGGUUUGUUUGCUUUAGGGCUGUUUUACUGGAAUUGAGUUUGUGGGCCACAGUGCCUCACAGAUGUGGCUGACACCUAACUGAAGUGGCCAGAUAUGGCAAAUAAAAAAUACAGGACAUGCCACUAAAUUUGAGUUUCAGAUAAACAACAAAUACUUUUUAUUUAUUUAGUCUAAAAGUAUUUCCAUGCAAUUUUUGGGACAUAGUUAGAAUUAUAAAAAAAUUUUUUUUUUUUUGUUUCUCUGAACUUCAGAUUUAAUCUGUAUUUUACUUGGCAAUACUGUUCUGAAGUCCAGCAGUGGCCCCUGGGCAUGCUGUUCCUGGCACCAAGUCCCACUGGGUCCUGAUCUCUGGCUCCAAUCCCCAACUCCAUUGACCCCAGGGAGAUCUCAGCCACUGGCCCAACUCUGCCUGUGCCCUUGGAAUUGGGUUUUAGAGACCUCAAGCCACAGCCAGGAUUCCAUCUGAGCUGUAGAGCAGCCAGAGGCCCACUCCCUUAACCUUGCUGGUCCCUCCAUCUGCAGCAACCCUCCUC